UACGUAGGCAGCUAGCGUUGUUCGGAAUUACUGGGCGUAAAGCGCGCGUAGGCGGCUUUGUAAGUUAGAGGUGAAAGCCUGGAGCUCAACUUCAGAAUUGCCUUUAAGACUGCAUCGCUUGAAUCCGGGAGAGGUGAGUGGAAUUCCGAGUGUAGAGGUGAAAUUCGUAGAUAUUCGGAAGAACACCAGUGGCGAAGGCGGCUCACUGGACCGGCAUUGACGCUGAGGUGCGAAAGCGUGGGGAGCAAACAGG
rnacentral:rRNA from 1 species